CGUAGGACUAGAAAAGGAGAAUUGUUGCCCCUCUUGGGCAGAGCUUAGGUCAUUUGGGACGUUAAGGUUACUUUCUUGGUGAUUAGCCAUCGUGGAUCUCAGUGGGUUUCUUUAAGAGUGAAAACUCCGGUGAUGAAAAGAUCUCCGUCGUUUCCCACAGACGGCGCCAAUUGAUGAUCUGAGAUCCAAUAGAAUAGGGUUUUACAAGGGUUUUGGUAUUGAAGAAUAAAGCUUGGUCCAUCUCUCUAGAGGGGUAUCCCUUUUAUACUUUCUGUCUACUUGCUGAUGACGUACUACGGCUCUCCUAUGAUAGGGCCACGCGUCUCUGCCAUACAGAUAUGGGCGUACAAGGAUAUCAGGCGCCUGCUCCAUGCGUAACGGCCUCUGAUUCUCCCCCAUGCGUACGCUCGAGCGGAUCUGCCAGGCUGUAUGACGAGUCUCGUUCUGGAUCCUGGGCUGGGCCGAGAGCUGGGCUGGACGCGGAACCCAGGAGGAGAAAGAAUCCGUAGGGAGGUUAUACAGGCUGGGCCGAUCUCGAGUAGGAAGAAUCUGGUGGAGUCCGGCCUCAGGGGUCUGAAGAUCCAGGUCUGUUUUACUUGAGGGAGCCUGCGGGCCUUCCUUUCAUGGGCCAUGGCCUUAAUCUAGACCUAGGAUUGGGGAUAGGGAAAUCCAGUGGUCAUCAAUGAUAUUGGCAAUUAAGAUAAAUUUUAUUGAAUUUAAGAUCGUGUUUAAAUAUUAAAUAUAUAUAAUUGGGUUGGCUUUAACCACUUUGAGAUGUUAUUCUAUUAAUAAAAUAAUACAAACAUUAAACUAAUUAAUUAAUAUAUAAUUUCAAAAAAUAAUGGGCCCACCUCGCUUAAUAAUUUCUCAAUUCUCAUGCAUGGGGUGGGCCAUUUCCCUGUCUGGUAUCAAACAGGUUCAGACAAAAAUUCAAAGAAAUUUCCAUCUGAACUGCUUUCUAUUUCUAAUUGCGGAAAUCUUUGAAUUUUUUUUAUUCAAGUGUUGCAUGCAUUUGUUUAUUUGUUCAAAAAUUAAUUGAUUCCAUGUGAUUGCUGAAAUAUUAAAAGGCUAAGAGAUAACUUUCCAAAUUGUGAAAACUUCUAUUUAAAGGGAAAAGAAAUACUGAAGGAUGCCAACCAACAAUAUGUUUUUUUUUUUUUUACUGAUAUAUUUUCUCAAGAAUUGUUUUAUUUGUUAAUUUAUUUAUUGUAACAAAGUCAAUAAUGGGUGUGAGAUGGCAUGUAUGUGACAAAAAUAGGUAGAAUAUUACUAUUCAUCUUUAUAUUGUAAAUUUAAAAAAAAUAUAUUUGCAGAAAAUAUUAAUGUUUGUCCUUAGCAGAUCUCAAAUUCGAAUAUUAUAAAUGCAUGAUGUUAUAUACUCCAAACAUAAGAAGUGAAAACUUCAUAUGACAUUUCAGUAUAUUUUUUGAUAAAACAUGUGUGAUUUAAAAUAAUAAUAAAAAAAUUCAUUUACUAUAAGAGAAAGAAAUCUUGAAAUAGUACUAAAUAUUUUAAUUUUUUUUAGAGAUUAAAAGAAAAUAUAUUAAUAUAAAUUGGAAGCAGAGGAGAUAUGGAGGAUAAAAUUAAGGUAAGCUAAACUUAACUUGUGGGUGUUGGAUCCAUCAUAUAAUAAUUAGCGUAAAGUGUGUACGCUUUACUAAACAGCUCAUUAGUAGCAGUUAAUUAUAUCAGUCUCACAUUAUUCCAUUCCACCCAAUCUUAUUAUAUAUCAUUAUCCCUUUGUAACUAAUCUUCUCCAAACAUUUCAAAUUUCACCACAAUGCAUCAUCUUCUUGAAGGAAAAGUAAAAAUUAUUAAUAUUUUAAUUAUAUGAUCAAAACACUAAAUUCUAGGUUGAUGAACAGGGCCUUGGAAAGAUCAUGGAUAUACAUUUUGUGAUUAAACAGGAGAAUUCAUCAGCCUCCACACAAGACACUAUCCGAUGAGAUAUGAAGAUUCCAUUGGCCGGCAAACUGUUUGGAUUAUAUGUAGGAUUAUUUUAUUAAUGGAUAUAUUAGUUUACAUAUUGUGAAGUUGUACACAGUGAAUUAAUAAAAGUUAUGUCUUCUACUAAGAAAGUGACUCUGAACUCAGGCUUAUGGCCGCUAUUGGACUUCUGACGACGCGUUUACCCUCAACAUCAACCCAGCUAAGGUAGCCAAAAACUACACUUUCUUCGAGCUGGCUUGGACCUUCAAUGACCAAUUUGUAGUUUAGCUUCUCGUUCUUGGAUUUAAAAUCCAACUUCUCUGGCAUGACACUGACCUUUAACCCUUUCAUGGGCGUUAUGUUUGCAGUGUAAGUUGACAUUGCCUCACCUACAUUGGUCACUGUCCGGUGAAAUUCUCGGACGGUGGUCGAACUCAUUUCCGAUGAGUUAGAGUUGAAGAAGGCCACAAAAGCAGGAUAGUUAAUAUCCAAGGAUGGGACGGAACAAUCGUUAGAAGGUGACUUUGUAAUGGCUUUGAUUUGAUUUUCUGUGAAGUUUAAUGCGCAGAGGAGUUUCACGUAAUCAGUUGAACUCAAGUCAUAAAUGAGGCCGGGGUCUAGUGCCUUGCUGGGAUUCACCUGGCCAGCUCCCAUGUCUAAAGAAGUGGCUGGCUUGUUGUCAUUCCCAAUAUCUUUGAUAGGCCCAUGAGUGUGAUCCAUGGUGUCGGCUGUGGUCAUCAUGGCCGACCGGAUAGCUGCAGGGCUCCAAUCGGGAUGUGCCUUCCUCAAGAGUGCUGCCACACCUGCUGCAUGGGGGCAAGCCAUGGAUGUCCCAGAUAAGAUAUUGAAGUUGCUGAAUAGUGGCUUAGAAUUGAUCCUCACCACUUCAAUAUUUUGUGGCCAUGCAGCUAAGAUUAAAGAACCAGGAGCCAUUAUGUCGGGCUUCAAAACAAAUGGGCAACUUGGGGAUGGUCCUCUAGAGCUGUAGCUUGUUAGACUUGGAGCUGUUUCAAUCCCGAGCUUUGUUUCCUGAAACUCCAAGCUUGCCUGCGGCUUGCUGCUACUCUUGAUGAAAUCCUUAAUAGUUUCGCCAUCUUUUGGAUUCACAAAUAUUGCUGGAAAAUCGGUUUCAAUUAAAAAUUCAAGGUCUGUGAAGUUUGUUAUGAAGAUACCUCCGGUGACAUUCGCUUGUCUGACGUUAUUAAAUUGGCUGCCUAAGGAAGAAUUCUUGUCUUCGCAGACAACGAUUUUUCGCUCAACAGUAUUCAACUGUUUACUGAGACAUGCAUCCAAGAAAACAAUUGGAACUUCGGUUUCUGUAUAAUUCCCAGGAUAUAGAGAUAAGCCAGUGACUGAAACUCCAUUGCCAAGUCUCAAAACUCCAUCAUAUUCACGAUCUAUCGUACCAGCUGCAACAGUUAGCACCCAGGGAAUGCCGUUGUGUAGCGUCCCAAGGAAAGGCCCUUGGUUUCCUGCAGAAGUUGAAACGAAGAUGUUCUUUUCUAAGGCUGCGAAUGAGGCCAAAGCAAUGGGAUCUUCAUACAAAGGAACCCCGUCCAGGCCCAGUGAUAUCGACAGUACAUCAACUCCAUCAAUAAUUGCUUGAUCAAUUGCAGCAAUUAUAUCAGAAGUAGUAGCACCUUCGUCCCAGAGAGCUUUAUACAUAGCAACGUGGGCCCUGGGAGCCACUCCACUAGCAGUUCCCGGUGCGUAGCCAAAGAAAGAAGCACCCUCCACAAAAUUCCCGGCCGCCGUACUCGAGGUGUGGGUCCCAUGGCCGUCGGUGUCACGAGUUGAAUUCAUGGAAAUGGUGAUGUUCCUGGCAAUUAGACCUUUGUUGAAAGAUCGAGCUCCAAUUAGCUUCUUGUUACAUAAUGAAGAGUUGAACAUGGUUCCACUCUCACACUCUCCUUUCCAUCUUUUUGGAAUUUCAUAAAUUCCAUUGUCGUUAUAGCUCUCACUUUCCGGCCAAAUACCAGUAUCCACCACCCCGAUAAUAACAUCCUCCCCAUAAUUCGUCGCCUGCCAUGCUCCAGAAUUGCCAGUGAGGCCUAGAAAUUGCGGUGAAUGAGUUGUAUCGAGUUUAACAGGCAGGUCUUUAAAGGAAGAAAUAUAACCUGGAGAAUUUUUCAAAGCCUCAAGCUCAGAAGGAGAGAGAUGAGCACUAAAGCCAUUCAUAGCAUGAGUAUAAGUAUAGAUAAGCUUAGAAGAGGUGGAUGUGGUGGAAGCAAUGGUGCUUCUGCUUGCAGACACUGCAAAAGCCGAAGAAAGAGUCGCCAAAUACCAGCUAUGCUGGCUAGAGAAGGCUUUGGGCAUGGCCGACAAGUCCAUGUGAACUAUAUAAUUGUCUUUUUGUGCUCUUGUGGGGAUGAAAAUUGAGAUAGCGGCAAAGAAAAAACAUGCACAAGAGAUAAUACUGUAAUGCAUUGCCAUGAUGAAGAAAGAGAAUGAAUAUUUUAGUACAAUACUCUGAAGGGCUGUGUGUUUAUAUAGGAAACUGAACCUUCAGAUUCUGCUAAAAAAAUUAUUUUUCUAAUUUUUUUUUUUUUUUUCAAAAUCCAACUUGUCCCUUACGUUGGCCAUAUACAAUAGUGUACAAAAAUGAAGCUCUGUGAUUCCAGGCCAGCUUGAUAAUUAGCUCUUGACUUGGUCUCGCCUAUAUCCAUAAAAUUUGCCAUAUUGCUUAACUGAGGUCGAUACUUCUCAGCAUUCACAACCAAAUUUGAAGCUUAGAAGUCAUGUUGGCCGUCAGCAAUCUGGUUUCCUUGUUUGAAAUUGCGGGUUUUGAAUUGAAUUAUAGGAGAUCUUCAAUUUUGAUUUUAAUUUGAUUCUCAAAAAAUAAUUUAAUUUCAAAUUCAGUCAAUUUAAUAUUAAAUUAAGAAAAAUUAUUAUUUGAUUUUAUAAUAUAAAAACUCAUUAAUUAAUCUCUCAUUUUUUAAAAUUAUAUUAAAAUAUUUUUAAAAUUUUAUUAAUUAAUUUUUUAAAUAUUAAAAAAAUUAAAUUAAUUAGUAACUUACGUGGGGAGAGCUAAGAUAGUGGAGAGAUUUCAGAAGAGAUCUGAUGGAUUUAUUUGGGUGCAUUAAUUGUAAACCUUCGCGUGCAAAAAAGGUUUCAAAGUAUUUUGUUGCUCAUGAAGAUUUUCAUUUAAUUGAAGUAACAACCCAAUAUAAAUAUCUAUACCACUUGAGCAAGAUAUAAAAUAUUUUUUUAAAAAAUAAAAACUAAUCUAAACAUUUCUAACGUUAUCAAAUUCUCAUGGGCAUCCAUGGCUCUAAAAUUUCCCACUUUUUUUUUAAACAAAUUAGUUUAAAAUAUUAUGCAUACUUUAAGUCGGAGUUUCCACAUUUAUUUAAUUUUUAAAAUUUAUUAUUUAUAGUAAGAAAAAUAUUUUAAUACUUGAUGUAUCUAUUAACCUAAUAGAGAAGCCCAUGUGUACAAUUAAAUAAAAAAGAAAAUGGAAAAGGAAAACUCGGUUUCCGGGAAAAAUGAUGAGAAGAUUGGAGAGAGGAAGAUUGAGUUAGAGCCCACCAUGUGUGGCAGAGGAAGUGUCCAAAAUACAUAUGACUAACAAGUCACAAUGAUAAAGACUUGAGAAACGUGGAAGUAGCUGUUGGGCAGCCAUGUGGGCAGUGCAAAUUGAUAAAAACUUAGUACUAAGGAACACGGCGGGCUACCCAUCACUGUUGAAAUGAAUGAGAUCCAGAAUACAAUUCUCACAAAUUUUUAUUGAGUCGAUUUUGUGCGAAAAAAAAAAAAGUUAGAGAUAAACAUGAGAAUAAAAAUUCAAUUCUCAUAAUGAACCGAUUUCAUAUAAAAAAAUGGUUAUUUGAAUGAAUAAUUUAAUUUCUUUUCGAUUCUUAUAAAAUUUAAUCAGCUAAUUCAAUACAAAUAAUAUUUACAAUUACAUACUAUAAAAGGAAAAGGACAUGGACUACUUUUCCUUUUUUUUUGUCAGGAUAUUAACUUCACACCAAAAUCAUUCAUAAGAAACUUACUACUUGUAUAGAUAGAUGAUCAGUUACUUUGAAGAAAGAUUACCAGCAAACAUUAAGUAAGUUUCGAAAGAGAAGGAACAAUCAUAAGUACCCAAAACAGAAGCAAAAGAACAAACAUGUCAUCCUCGUACGUAAGAGUUUAACAUUGUAAUUAAGAAUUGGUAUUGUGUGCAGUGAUGAAUAAUUUAAGUGGGUUGUUUGGUCGCAUGUCAGCUUCAGUUGUUUCUGGUUUAAGCUGUAAUUAACAUUUACAAGAAAACACAAAGUUGAUGGGUUCAUAUUAUGACAGCUGAAAAUCAGAGAAUAUUAUGUAAGUUUCCUUUUUGCCCUACCUUGUUUUCUAAGGAAGAAUUGGUUGAAGUUAAUCAUCUUUUUCAUUUUUGUAAAUAAUUAAUUUAAUAAAAUAUAUAUUUUAUGGAUUAAAUAAUUUCUCGUAUUGAAUAGUCUCCCUAUCUGUGAGCCUAUUACUUAUAGCUAGUGGCAUGGGGCAUUGCCUACUUUGUUGUUAGCUGGAAGUGGAGGACCAGGGUUCCUAGAUAGCGACACAUAUUUACAUAAGGGUAUGAACUAAAAUGACUUUUUUAACCUUUUUAAUUUUAUUUAUUUUUUUUUUAAUUUUACUUUUGAAUGAUUAGUGAGUAACAACUUAAAGACAAAAUUACAUCACAUGAUUUAUUUGUUUCUACCAAAGUUGACAAAAAAAUUUUACUUAAGGGAUAGAAAAUGGAAUUAUUAUGACCUGGACUCAUUGAUUGCAAUUAAUGGUAACAUUGAGGCAAAGAGCAAUGAUUGGUAUCUGAGAAAAUUAUAAAGCAAAGAAAAGGAAAGAAAAAAAAAGAGUUAAGAGAGAAUGAGUGGCUAAGCAUUGUGAAGGCUUUUAUGAAAUUUCUUUUCAUUAACAACCCAUUUCAGCAUACAGUUCUUCUGUUAAUAUUACUUUUCAUCCCAAUCCAUCUCUGCAACCACUUGAUAACUAAUGAAACUAACACUUCUAACUAACAACUGAUUUUAACUAACUUUUGACUUUCUUGUUCUUUACAUCACCCACCCGUCAAGGAAGUAUUAUGGAAAUUGAGCAUCUAAAAAACUAAUUAAAAUCCUCCCAAGUGGCAUUAUCAGGGCUAAAGAUGAACACACCGUAUGCAAUUUCAGCAGAACAGAGUUGCCUGUUUCCCAACUUAAUUUUAAAUUAAAUUAUUAAAAUAAAAUAAUAAAUAAUAUGAACAGCAUUUUAAAAAUAAGAUAAAAUUAAAUAGAAUUAUAAUAUUUAAUUUAUUAUUAUUAUAAUGUAAACAAAAUAAUUUUAAAAUAAUAAAUAAAAUUAUGAAAAAAAUAUAAUUUAAGACACAUUUGAUGAUAUAGGAAUAAUAAGCUAUAAUGAUUACAAUUAGAUGGCCAAAAUUUAAAUUUUAAUUAAUAAAAUUUUAUAAAUUAUAUUUUUAUCUAACAAUAAAUAACAUUAUUUUUUUAUAAAUAAUAUAUUUUAUUAUUUUAAAUAAUAAAAAAUAAGAAUUAAUAAAAAAAAAUUGAUAUCACAUCUAAGUAAAUCACUUUGAUACAUACAACCUAAAAGCUAAAUUAUUAAUUUAAAGUUAAUAGAAAGAUACAAAAAGUUUUAUUUUCCUCUUCAAUUCUAAUAUUUUUUAAUUUUCUUUUUUAUCUUUAUUUUUUAAUAUUUUUAUUUAUAAAGUAUUAUAGGUAGAUAAUUACACUUUAUAUAAUUUAAUCAUUUUUUUUUUAUUUUUCUUCACUUCCAGAAGUUUUUAGCAUAUUAAAAUCUUAAUUUCAUAAAUUUAUUUUAGAGCUAAUAUUUAUAAUAUAUUUAAAUUUGUAAAAGAAUUGGGAUCCAAAGGCUAAUUUUUAUGCCCCUAACUAGAAUUUUUUUAACAUAAUAAUAUCUGAAUUUGAUAAAAUUUAUUAUUAUUAUUUUUUUAAUAAAAAGGUUAGGGAAAGAGGCCAAGCUAUAUGUGUCUGCCUCUGAUUUAAUUCCAUCAGUCAAGACAAAAUUUCCUAAUUUUUUAUUGAGAAAAAAAUUUCCUCAAAUUAAUUUCCGAUUUUAAUAACUUUUACUAAUUAAAAAAAAAAACCUGACUGCUAAAUUCAAAUUAUUGAUUUAACAUAAGAAAAAAUAAAAACUGUAACUUGGCCAAUUUAUUAUUACAUAUAAUUUGAUUUUUACUUUUUGAUUUUUUUUUUUGAAAUUAUCUGAUAGAAUUUGAUAUUCAAUGCAUUUUGUUGUAAUUCUUUCUUAAUUGAGAUACUCUGACUGAACAAGUUCAUAGUUUAAAAAAGGUAAGAGAUCAUAAAUGAACAAAUAUUAUUUAGUGUAAAAAACUAUUUUGAGCUAAGUGCUUUUAGCUGAGACGAAACCAACCUUACUAAUUAAGAAAUGUAUACAUUACAAUACCCAACAAAAGAAAUAAGGUAUAUUAUGGAAAUUCACUUCAUGUUUCUAUGCCAAAAACUGCCAUGAAUCACCAGCAAAUCUGAGUAGUUGAUGUACUUGAAUUGAACCCUUUGUAUUAAUUCCAAAGUCCACCACGCUGGAUAAUCUUGCAGAGUCAGGAAAAAAUAAUUAUCUAAUAUUUAAAAUCAUUACGCCAUUAAUUCAAAUUUGCAUUAUAUAAUCUCAAUAAUCGCUGUAAAUUACUUUUUUUUUUUUUAAAUUUAAAGAUAUUUAAUCGAGUUUCAAAUUAGUAUCGAAAAUAAAAUUGGGUAAAAGUGUUAAAUUUACUUUAUGACUAUACAAGAAAAGGUAAAAACUAUUAAAUUUAAUUUUUCAUUUAAAUUUAUUCAUAAAUCAUUAUUAAAAAAUAAAUAAAUUUAAAUAAUGUUAAAUGGACGGAAGACUACAUAACUCAUCUUCUUAGACCUUGUUUGUUUCAAAUGUAUUAUUACGUGGAAUUCACCGCCUAAAAAGUAACUUAACUAGAUUGGAAUAAAUUAUUUCCCUCCACUAAAAAAAAAAAUUCUUUGACUUUCCAUGAAGUAAAAAGAAAGCCAACCAGAUAAAACUAAUUUUACACUUUUUGAAAAUUUCAAGUUCACUAAUCAAGUUACUCCAAUCAAACAAUGUCUUAAAUAAUGACAAGUGCUCAUCAAUUUAAAUGAUAUUUUUUUAGAUUUAUUUAACGUUUUAAUAAUAAUUUAAAAGUAAAUUUAUAUUAAAAAAUUAAAUUAAUAUUUUUAAUAACAACUAUAUAAUUUAGAGGUAAUGAUAAAAAAAUCCAUUUUUUUUUAUGUUUACAAUUACUUCUAUCCUUUUAUAAUUCGCCAAUUAAAUUUCAUAUUUUUAUAUUUAUAUUUAUUCUAAUUAUACUAUACUGUUAAAUUUUCUAUUAAAAACUAAUGAAAGUGUUAUGUCAUCUGAAAUGUCAUUAUCAUGUCAUUGCCACCUCAGCAAAGUUUACGGUACAAUUGAUUACAACUUAAAAAAUCAGAAUUUAAUAGAUAAAUUUUUAAAAUUUAGAGUGCAAUUAAUUUUUUUUUUUAAAUCAGAAUUUUUUUAAUUUUUCUCCAAAAAUUAAAAUUUAGAAUAUUAAAAAAAUUUUACAUUAUUAUUAUUAUUAUUAUUAUUUUUUAAUUUUAUCAAUGAUUUAAUAUAUUAAUUUUAUUUUAAUUUAAUUUUAAAUUAAGCUACAAUAAUUAUUAUUGUAAUUUUAAAAAAUAUAUAAUUAACCAUAUAAUUGAAAUUAAAAAAAAAUUAUAUUUGAAAAAUUAUAUUAAAAAAUAAUUAUAACUAUUUUAUUAUUUAUAUUUUUAAAAAUAAAUUAUGCAAAAUAUAAUUUUAAAUUAAUUUUAUAUUUCACACUAAAAUUACAUUUACACUCUUUUCUAAUAUAUUGACUUCAAUCGGAAUGACUGUCUCGACUGUCUCAUAUUUCCUGUAUGUAAGUCUAGGACUAUACAGUUAUGUAUUUCGAUCAUAUAAAUUAUGAAAUAUAAUUAAUAUAUAUUAUUAAUCAUAUAUUUUUUUAAAUUACUAUGAUAAUUAGUAUGGAUUAAAAAAAAUUAAGAUAUAAAUUAAUUGGAUUAAAUUAAAAUAAAUUAAUAUACUAAAUUAUUGAUAAAAUUAAAAAAUUUAUAAUAAUAAUACAAUUAUUUUUUAAUAUUAUAAAUCUUAAUUUUAAGAAAAAUAACAAAAAAAACUUAAAUUUUAAAAAUUUUUUUAAUUAAACUCUAAAUUUUAAAAAUUUAUCAAUUAAAUCUUAAUUUUUUAUAUAAAUUUUACUCAUGUGAUAAAGUGACGUGACAAUUACGUGUUAAAUAAUAUGGUACUUCUAUUAAGAUAGAGUGUAAUUAAAAUAAAUAUAAAAAUGUGGAGUUUAAUUGACGAUCGAUAAAAUAAUAAAAGAAUAGGAUAUAAUUAUAAAAAUGAAAAAAAUAUAAAAUUUUUUUAUCAUUAACUCUAUAAUUUAUCAGCAAAUUAUAGCUUUUUAAGUAAAAAUUGAGAGUAUAAGUUGUUGUUUAUAGUAAUUAAGUAGUAGCAGAAGGCACAUACAAAUUACGAUGUAAAGGAGGUUUGAAUUAGAGAUCAUUGCCUUUGGCACUUCCUUUGAUGGGAGUAAAGACACUGAACAAGAUUCAGGAAAAUAUGGGUUGGCAUUUGAGGGAACUAUCAUAUCAUAUCAUACCUCUCUGGGAGCGUUUUCAUUUCAUCAAUGAUGUCAAUCUCUUUUUCUAGGAAAAAAAAAAUGCUAAUAGCUUCCCCAAUUGUAUUCGAUUUUUAUAUUUUUUUAUAAAAAUAAAAAUUUUAAUAUAAAUAACACAUUUUAAAGCAACCUUACUAAUUAAGACAUGUACACAUUACAAUACCCAACAAACGAGAUAAGGUAUAUUAUGGAAAUUCACAUCAUGUUUCUAUGCCAAAAACUGCCGUGAAUCACCAGCAAAUCUGAGUAGUUGAUGUACUUGAAUUGAACCCUUUGUAUUAAUUACAAAGUCCACCACGCUGGCUAAUCUUGCAGGGUAAAGAAAAAUAAUAAUACCCACUUGUGAAUACAUGAGGAGCAGCUUGGUUUAUAUUAGGGGUGUAAAUGAAUCAAACUGUUCGUGAGCUAUUCGAGGUUCGAUUCGAUAAAAGCUCGAUCGAGUUUGACUCGAUUUUUAAACGAGCCAAACUCGAGCUUAAUUUUUAGGCUCGUUUGGUAAACGAGCCAAACUUGAACUCCAUAGUAUUUGGCUCGUUAAGGCUCGUGAGCUCGGUUCGUUUCUGAGUUCAUGAGCAGGCUCGCGAAUAGGCUCGUGAAUAGUCUCGUUAAGCAAACUGAAAUUACUAUCAUAGGAGAAAUAAACUCAAACCAUACAUAUACUUUAAUGAGGCAAAUCUAAAUUUUUUAAAAUUCAGCUCUAUAUAAUUUAGUUACACUCUUAAACUUGCAUAUAUUUGCAUCAUUGAGAUUUAAAAACUCAUCUUUAUAAGUUUACAUGCUAAUUUGUAGAUAUACUUAUUUAACUAAAAUUAUUUUAGUUUUAAACUUAUUAGUUUUAAACUAAAACUCAUUAUACAUGUAAAUAAAUUAAAUUACUCGUGAACUAUUCGAGAUUCAGCUCAAUUAAAGCUCGACUCAGCUCGAUAAAAACUCGACUCGUCUAAGCUCGUUUGCUAAACGAGUCAAAUUUGAGCUUCUUAAUACUCGGCUCGAGUUCGAUAUGAGUAAAGCUUGAAUUCGGCUCGAGUUCGAAAAAAUUUUAACGAACUAAGUUUGAAUUCUAAAAAGUUCGGCUCGGCUCGGUUCAUUUACAGUCCUAGUUUAUACCCUGAAGAAGGGGAAUCAGUUUGUAUGUUAAUUUUAAUUAAAAUCAAAUAUUUAUUUAUUUUUAAUUUAAAUGAUCUUUUAUUAUUAAGCUGAUUAAUUCGAAUUUACCCAAUAAAAAUUGCAAAAUACUUUCUCUCAACUUUAAAGGUGUUUUAACUAAGUUUUAAAUUUAAAAUCACUACUUGAGGGUGGAGAGUUCUAUAUUGUAAUAAUUCAGAUUUUUUAAUUUAUUUUUCAAUUAAUCUAAAAUAAUUGAUUAAAUUAUUAAAGUAUAUCAAAUUUAAUAUUUUGAUUCAAAAUUUUUUUUAACUAUUAUUAAAAGUUUAAAUAAGUCAAAUAACGCUGAGAAACGUAUAACUUAUAUUCUUAAAUUUUACAGAUGUAAAUGAUAUUUUUAUAAAUUUAUUUAAUUUUUAAUAAUAAUUAAAAAAUAAAUUUAAAUUGGAAGAUUAAAUUAAUAUUUUUGACACUUACGUAUAAUUUAUAGGUAAAUUUUACAUUUUUAACCAUAAAAUAGAGAGUAUAAGUGGCUGUUUAUAGUAAUUAAUGGACAUAGAAAUUAAGAUUUAAACGUGCUUUGAAGAAGAGAUCAUUGCCUUUGCCGUUUCUUCAUAUAGGAUUGAUUAGACUAUAAUGUUCAGGGAUUAACAUUAUUUGGUUUAAAUUAAAAAAAUUAAUCGCACGAAAUUAAUUUAAAUUGAAAUUUGAUUUGAUAUUUUUUUAAUUUUGGUUCAAUUCAAUUCAAUUUUUAAUUUUAAAAUUUUUAAUUAUUUCAAUUCGAUUUCAUUUUGAUUAGAAAAAAUUGAAUCGAACUGAUUAAUAAUAAUAAUAUAUUAUUUUCAAUAAUAUAGAGAGAUUAAAUCAUAUUAAAAUUAAAAUAUUUUAAUUAAAUUUUAAAAUACUAAAAAUAAAGAGUAAAAAAUAAAAAAAUUUAUUAAAAAUUCAAAUUUAUCAAACUGAUUCAAAAUUGAAAAAAUCGAACCGAACUGAUUAGCGAUAAUAAUAUAUUAUUUUCAAUACUAUAGAGAAGUUAGAUCAUGUUAAAAUUAAAAUAUUUCAAUUAAAUUUUAAAAUAUUAAAAAUAAAGAGUAAAAAAUAAAAAAUUUAUUAAAAAUUCAAAUUUAUCAAACCGAACUGAAUCGAAUAAAUCAGACCGAUUCAGUUCGAUUCGAUUUUUAAUCAAAAUCGAUUCAGUUUGUAUAAAUACUAAAAUUUCGAUUUUUGAUUUAUUCAGUGAUUCAAUUUUGAACCGGAUCGACCGAAUGCUCACCCUUAAUAAUGUUUGGCUAAGACGAAAUAAUAAAAACGAGAGAUUAAAAAUCGAAAAGUCUUAUUAAAAUUCUUGAAAGAUUGAAAAGUGAGUUUUAAAUAAGUAAGAAAAACCUAUUUAUAAUAGAAAAAAAUCGAUUAUAGAAAAUUAUAAAAAUAUCUAAAAAAUAAUUAAAAUAUAAAAUUAGUUUUCUAAAUGAUAGAAUUUUCAUUUUGAACUUUAUAUCUAGAUUUUCGAUUCUAAUCACACUUUUAAAAGUUGUGUUCUUAAAAUUUUUUUUUAAAAAACUUAUCGUGAGUCUCCAUUAAAAAUAUAAAAGUUAAAUUUGAUUCAAAUAUGCUAUAAAGCUUAAAAUUAAUCGCUUGUAAAAGACACUGAACAAGAUUCAGGAAAAUAUGGGUUGGCAUUUGAGGGAAAUAUCAUAUCAUGCCUCUCUGGGAGCGUUUACAUUUUCAUCAAUUAGUCUACACUAUGUCAAUUUCUUCUUCUAGGAAACAAAAUGCUAAUAUUAAUUGAGAAACUAAAAAAAAGAAAAAAUCAAUAUAUAAAUAGAGCAAUUUGGUUGGGAUUUUGGGAAUCUCAUUUUAUUGGUGUCAUAAGAAUAAAGGGCAAUUAAUUAAUUAGUCAGAAAAUAUAAAAGGAAAGACAAAAUGAAAAAGGAAGUUCUUGAUUGGGAUUCGGCCAAGCUUUUCUUUAAUUUCUUUCCUUUCUAUAGAGGGAAAUAAAAAAUUGAUUUUCUAUAAAAUAAAUUUAAUAAAACUUUUCUAUAAAAUAAAUUAGAUAUUAUUAUAACCAUAAAAAAUUUAAAAUGCUAAUAAAAAGUUGCAUAUUCAGUCUUAUUUCACCUGAUAAGUAGAUAACGUUUAAAAAAAAAAUUCUUUCAUACAUUUAAAUAUAUACACUUAAUUCAAUAUAAUUUUAAUAUAAUAAUUUUAAAAAAAUAAAUAAAAAUUAUAGAAUAAAGGAAGUAAUAUAUUAUAAAAAAAUAUUAAUGUGACCUUGAUCAGUAGCCCCUUCUCUAAAAUAUGUUAUGUAAUUAUUUUUAGUAAUAAAAGUUUAUUAACAUUUGAAAAAUAUGAAAUUAGAGAUUUUUAUUAAUUAGCAUGUAAAUCGAUAUUUGCGUUCGCCCCAGAAUAAUUGCUUCACCCACGGUGGGAAAAAUGAAUUUCGCUUCUGUAGUUACUAUUAAUAUUCCAAUGUUCAUCAACCCUGCUAAAGUCUUCUUACCCGUGACCCAAAGAAUGAGGUUCUCCAAUCUCAUUUCAGACCAUUUUUUGUCUUGGCUGCUGCUGUUAUUGCUGCUGGAAAGCAGCAAUGCAGUUUCGAGAAAAGAAGAGCUGCAGACAUAUAUCAUCCACAUGGACAGCUUUCACAAGCCUGUCUCCUUCUCAACCCAUGAGUCAUGGCAUCGGUCCAUCCUAAAAUCAUUGCCCAGUUAUGUUGAUGACGAAGAAAUGUUGUUGUAUUCGUAUAACAAUGUUAUGCAUGGCUUUAGUGCCAGGCUCACACAAUCACAACUCUCUGAACUUGAGAAAUCUCCUGCUCAUCUUGCCACAUAUAAGGAGUCGUUUGGCAAGCCAUUCACCACCUACAGCCCUAAGUUUCUUGGACUAAGCCAUAACUAUGGCUUGUGGCCAACUGCAGCAUUUGGGGAAGGUGUGAUUAUAGGAAUCAUUGAUUCAGGAAUUUGGCCAGAGAGUGAGAGUUUUAAUGACAAGGGAAUGCCCCCUGCGCCAAAGAAAUGGAAAGGCCAGUGUGAGAAUGGCACUGCAUUUAGCCCUUCUAAUUGCAACAGCAAGCUCAUUGGAGCUCGAUCAUUCAGCAAAGGACUCAUAGCAGCACAUAGAAAUAUUUCCACUAAGAUUGAUUAUAACUCACCAAGAGACUUCUUUGGCCACGGGACCCAUACUUCAUCCACAGCUGCAGGGAACCAUGUUCCUGGAGUUAGUCACUUUGGAUAUGCAAGAGGCACAGCCACAGGUGUAGCUCCACGAGCACAUAUUUCCAUGUACAAGGUCAUCUUCGCAACAGAUACAGCAGAGACUGCAGCCAGUGAUGUGCUCGCUGGUAUGGACCAAGCAAUUGCUGAUGGGGUGGACAUCAUGUCCUUGUCUCUUGGUUUCAAUCAGACUCAUUACUUCAAUGAUGUUAUUGCCAUAGCUUCUCUUUCAGCAAUAGAGAAAGGGAUUGUCGUCGUAUGUGCAGUCGGCAAUGAUGGAGAUUUCAACUCAACACAUAAUGGAGCACCUUGGAUCACAACAGUAGGAGCAGGCACACUUGAUCGGAGUUUCACUGCAAAAGUGACUCUGGAAAAUGGGUUAACAGUGGAAGGAACAUCGUACUUCCCAAAGAGCAUUUACAUAACUGAUGCUCCUUUAUACUAUGGCAAAGAUAAUGACAGCAAAGCAUAUUGCCACCAUGAUGCAUUGGUUCCUGCUGAGGUCCAUGGCAAGGUAGUCUUUUGUGACACUGACACAAAAACUAAUGUUUUGAAACAAAAGAAAGAGCUCGAAAGGGUAGGUGCAUAUGCUGGAAUUCUGAUAACAAAUACAUCAGUACUGGGUUCGUUUGCGUUCAACAUUCCCUUCCUGAAAAUAUCAACCGCUUCUGGGGCCUUGGUUAGGGACUAUGUGACUCGGGUGCCCACGCCGAAGGUAAGAACCAUGGAAUUCAUAUUCACCAAGUUGGGUACAAAAAUGGCACCUCAAGUGGCCUUCUUCUCAUCCAGAGGACCUGAUCCGAUCAGUCCAAAUGUUCUAAAGCCAGAUAUUCUGGCUCCGGGAGUAGACGUGCUUGCAGCAAUUGUACCAAACCAGCCGUACAUGAAAAUGGACGGAUACCAAAUUGUGACGGAUUAUGCAUUAUUAUCAGGUACAUCGAUGGCAGCACCCCAUGUUGCUGGAGUGGCAGCUUUGCUUAAGUGUGUCCAUCCUGAGUGGAGCCCAGCAGCAAUUCGAUCGGCUAUUAUGACCACUGCAUAUGUCACAGACCAGAGUGGAACAAUUUUGAAAGAUCAACGGACAGGCCUUACAGCCACACCAUUGGAUUUUGGAGCUGGGCAUCUCAACCCAAACAAAGCCAUAGAUCCUGGACUCAUCUACGACAUGUACUUGCAAGAUUAUAUUGACUUCCUCUGCGGUCUUGGCUACACUGAAAAGCAGCUGAGAGCUAUCAUCAGGCGAAGCCAAUGGAAUUGCAGCCAAGAACUGGGCGAGCUAAACUAUCCUUCAUUCAUCAGCAUAUUCACCAAAGAAAACUCUCCAAUGGUGAAGAAAUUUAGCAGGGUGGUAACAAAUGUGGGAGAUAACACAGCUGUUUACAAUGCAACUCUAGUGAUUCCUCCUGGAAUGAGAGUCACUGUGGAGCCUAGUAGUUUGUCCUUCACUCAAAAAUUUCAGAAUCAAGGCUUUUCUGUGAGUUUGGAGAUUGAUACAGAUUCUCCAGCUGUGGUCUAUGGCUAUCUUAAAUGGAGUGAUCAACACAAUCAUGUGGUUUCAAGCCCUAUAGUGGCUGUUAAACUCUAAUUGAUCUUUUAAUUAGGCCAUGGAUCUUCUUGGAAGAUUAUUCUGUUAAUAUUUUCAUAUCAAUAAUUCAAGAUUGAAUGUUUGUUUUCUGAUGUAUGAAAUUAAGUACUCAAACUUUGACAAUCUUCUUCUUCUCUCUGUCUCUCUUUUGUUAAGAUAUGGAGCCUAUUAGGUAAACUGUGUUAAUUUCUUUUCAUGCUUAUUUUUUUAAAUUGUGUGAUUAUUGAUUCUCAGCAUCUUUCUUUCUUAAUUCGAAAAUGCUUUGCAUUACAAGGCUUUGUGAGCAUAUAAGCUAGUUAUAAUGGAUUGGAUUGCAAAUAAACUGCAAUUUUGCAAGACAAUAUGCAGCUUUAUAAGCUGCUUUUCUGACGAAAGGGAAGGAUGAAAUUUCUGAAAACUGGGCUUCUUGGUGCUUAAUUGCCAUAGCAGAAGCUUGAAUCUUCCAAGUCACAACAAUUAUUGCUACCUGAAUCUGUAAUCGCCGAAUGCAGAAUAGAAGAGCUAGUCUUGACCACAAUAUUACUAAUACCCAUUCCGAUUUCAAUGCUUCCAACAGGGCCUUCGCUUCCCCAGCCAGCGGAGUAGGAGCCGCAACAUUGCUCUCAAGACCAUUCAAUCAUCUUCCCUGCAUAAUUGCGAACUACCACACUACGAAGGCUUUGGAGCUGCCCUGCUUCCUAGUGACAUUACAGUCGAGUUUAAGAAAAUCCAGAGGGGACGGACAUCAUGAUUCAGGAAUAUCAGCACAGGAAGGCCUCCACGAUGCUUCCAUUCUCUCCAACAGGGCUUGGACUUUGUUCAGAGCCUUACAAUCUCCUUUUCUUUUUAAAAGAAGUACUAUUUUGUUGGAACAGAUGUUGCUUCCGCUUCCUUAAAAAGUCAUUAUCACUGUUUGCUUUCGAUCCGACAAUGCAUGCCCCAGUUUCAGUCAAAGUUGUUCUCCCCUUGAAAUCUAGAAACUGCUAAUGAGUCAUUGUAUUGUUCUUUCUCCAUGUUGCUUCACUUAGUUCGUAUGGUUGCUUUGGGCUACUGUAGGAGAAACUUUUUGGCCGCCGAUAAAAAUGGUGGUAUUUGUUCUAGUCAAGGAUUGGCGCUUUUGAGUUUUCAUCCGGGUUGGUUGGAUCAAAAAUGGGUUGGGUCUUUAGGGCUUGUUUAUAUUCUUCAAGGGCUUUUAUUAGGCCUAAAAAUUCUUAGUCUAUUCGUGUUUAGGGCUGGAGCCUUAUCCUUACAUCUUUGAGAGAAGGAUAAAAAAUGGAUCUUGGGGCCUCAAUUUUUGCUAAUUUUAGCAUUAGACCAAGAUUCCAUUGUCUAACUUCCGCCUUGAAUUUAACAAAUAGGACAAGCAUUCAGCUCAUGCCUGAGACUUUUGAGCUGUGGCCCAUAUUGGGUAGACUGGAAGACCACCAACAAUUUCAUGGAUUUAAGGCCACUAUACAUAGAGACUCUUUUCUUUUUCUCCUUUUUCCCGAGAAAACUUGGGGAGUUCAGUCAAUAAAGCGACAAUGAAUAAACUUAAGACCACCAAAAGUGGAUAUGCGGAAUGUUACAAUAGGUCUUAAGACAGAAGAAAGCCGAAUAUAGAAACAGAAGACAAAGGUUUCCACACCUUCUAUAUCCUUUAAGACCAGAAUCAACAACACUCAACACAUUGGAGGGACCCAAAGAUACAUAUCCCUUGUUCACAUCUAGCUGUUUAGGUUUCUUUUGUCAUAAAUGGGCCCUCGCAGCCUUAAAAAAAAAAAAAAAUAAAGGUAAUCACAAUAAUUAGAGAAUAAUUACUAAAUUAAAUAAAAACAAAAGCUCACAAGGGAAUGCAAUAGUGCCGCAUGUGAAUGGUAGGACCCAAGUUUUCAUAAUCAUCGGCAACUUAAUAAUAUUUUAUAAUUAGAAUUUAUGUUAAAAAUUCAAAGUUAAGACUUAGUUAUUCUGCUUUUAUGGUUCAUGAACUAAACGGACCAAUUAUAUUUGCACCCUUUUUUCGGGGGUUGACCGCCGGAUACCUGCAAGUAGUUCUUUGUCGGUGAGUAAAAAAAAAAAAUUGUACUUAGAUUUUGCAGACGCACUGAAGUAUCCUGUACUCUAACCUCCAUCAAACACUCCCCCACCUCCACCACGUGAAAAAUUUUACUACUGUGGUAUUUAAUCUGGAAAUUCCUUCAGCACCAACCGACUCGGUGUACAUACAUAUACUCAAGGAGUAAUUUCUUUACAUAAGGUGAGAUUUCAAGAACAUCAGCAACUAUAUGUUAAGUAUACAACAUAUAAGAAUCAAACUACGUUUUCAAGUGUAUACUGUAUACACUCGACCAAUCCAUAAAUGCCAUAUAUGCUAAAAUCAUGAUAGGUCCUACCUCUGUGAAAAUGCAUACUGACAGCUUGCUAUUUGCCUGAGUGUAUAAAUACCUUAGUGCGAGUAAGAAUCUUUCUCAGGGGCUCCGAAUAAGCUGAACAUGAACAAAAUAAGGUGAAUCUGAUAAUCUUGUACAUGAGUUCAACAAAAUCUACUUACUGUUCUUCAGGCUCUUGUUUUCUCCACAAUGAUAUAUUGGUUUGAGCACCACUUUCGUAACCGCUACUGUCACCAGAUUCAAUUACCCGCUUAUCUGUUUUCUCACCAUCAAAAUGAGCUCGCCCAUUUUCCUUUACAGUUCUGCGGUCCUGAACCAAGAACAGCAGGCCAAUAAUGGAUAAGGGUUUACAUGGGGAAUCACCCCAUAGCAUAAAUGCUUCAAAGCUUAUAUUGAUUUGUCUUGCAUUGUCUAGAAAUGAAAUCCUUAAUGCAAUAUUUCAAAUAGUCAAGGAUUCAAAACUAAUCAUAAAGAGCUAUGGGCAUCUGUACAGCAGCAAUCAUAACAAACACAAAGAUAUAUGAAAAAUGAUUGAAAGGGGUAGCUUAACAAUUAAGCUUGAAGACAGAAAAGCCUAUAAAUGAAAAAUGAUUAGUUGCCUAACACCAAUAUGAACUUACAUCUCGGAAGGGAAACUCAUCAGCUUCGAGCAUAUGUAUCACAUGCCCCAUCUUUGGCCUUUUUUGUGCAUUUGGAUCCACACAGCGUAAAGCUACUAAAAGGGCACGCUUCAGUGCCCUUGAAGAAGGCUUCUCUGGCAAUCUAGGAUCCAAAACUCCUUCUGCAUUCCGAUUUGUAACCAUUGUUUUAAGCCAUUCAACUAGAUUCACCUGAAAGUUAGAUUCACAAAUAAAAAUCAAUUAAAAGAACCUUAAGAAGAUUAUGUUGAACUGGUUGAGAUUCAUCACAAGUGGAUUAGGAUAAAAACCUCUCCAGGAGGGCGGCUGUAAUCAACUGGGUUUCUUCCAGAAAUAAUUUCCAUAAGAAGUAUCCCAAAGCUGUAUACAUCACUUCUUUCAUUCAGCAUGCCAGUACCAGCAUAUUCUGGAGCCACAUAUCUAUGGAACAGAAGGAAAAAAAAAAAAGGUUAUUCCGGUUUGCUGGAACAAGAUCAUGGGAUUGCCUAUUAAUUAGACGAAAAAAACACACACCCAAAUGUUCCCAUUACACGAGUGGUCACAUAACUCCGCUCUGAGCCUAAGAGUUUCGCAAGGCCAAAAUCAGAUACUUUAGCAUUCCACUGCUUAUCAAGUAAAAUGUUGCUUGAUUUUAUAUCACGAUGAACAACCUUGGGUUCAAGUCCUUCAUGCAGGUAAGUCAACCUAGAAUUUUUCGACAUUAGUCACAACAAACACUCAGAAGGAGAAACAUCAAAGAAUUGAAGCUCUUGUUGUUAACCAUGCUCAACACAAAUCAGUACCCUUUUGCUGUUCCAAGUACUAUAUUCAUGCGAAUCUCCCAUGUGAGAGGGCUGCAAGGUCCAACAUCUCCAUGAAGCCACUGUUCUAAGUUACCAUUGUCAACAUACUCGUAUACAAGCAUCCUAAAACAGCAGUGAAAUUUCUUUAGCAUGUAAUACAAGACAAUGAAAUAAAAGGCUACAAAAACAGGUACCUCAAGAAUUCUGAAAUCUAACUUGCAAUACUGAAAAUGAAAUAUCAAUAGUCUAAAGCAGAAAAUCUAAGUACCUAUGAGCUCCUUCAGCACAAUAACCAAGCAACCUCGCCAAAUUCUUGUGCCGCACCCGUCCUAUUGCUUCAACUUCUACUUUAAACUCCUUCUCAGCUUGUCCCCUAUAUCAAAUUCAAGAACAACAAGCUUUUAAGCCCAAUCCAAUCUCUGCGGCAAGAUUCCUUAAUAAAUAACAAAACAUUAUCUCAAGUUAUACCUGUUGUUAAGCAAGUUUUUAAUGGCAACUUUAGAAUUGUCCUCCAUAACACCCCGGUAAACAAUCCCAUACCCACCUUCGCCAAUCACAUUCUCGUCAGCAAAACCAUUAGUAGAGAACUCAAGCUCCCUGAGGGUGUACCAGUGGCCCCAUCCCAAAUGUGACACCUCUGGCACUGUUAUUACCGUACCGCCCUGAUCACCGGAACGAGGACCAGACCGGGUCUCUCCGCUUCCAUAACCCGACCCAUAAGAUAUUCUGUGGUCCUUCCUAAUCUCUAUGUGAAUUCUGUUUCGCCCACCGACAGGACUAGUAUUCUCUUCAUUCUGUAGAAGCAGGACAGGAUCCGAUUCCGGCACUGGUUCCGGGCUCAUCGGCUUAGCAUCAGGGGUCGGGUGUGAAGGGUCUACACUUAUCUCCUGGAUUUCCUUCGAGACGCUGGGAAUUGUGGGGUUGUUGAGAGACGACAUGAAUUUAUAGUGAGCAGCAUUUUUAUUAGUCUUGUUGCGUUUAGAAGUGAACCAGAGAGAAAUAAGGAAAAGGACAAGAACAAUGGCAGCUCCUACACAGACACCAAGAACUACCCAUAAACGUAAACCGAAGAUUGAGGUUCUCUUGGAGAGCUGAUCGUUCAAGAAAGAGUACUUAGACAUUUAUGGCUCUUCUUUCUUCUUCUUCCUCAACUCACAGUUGCUGUCGGUUUCCUGUGGCAGCCUAUACAGAAACGUUUGUCACGUAAACAGAGAAGAACAGAUAAAAAGAAAGAGAUGCAGAGCAAUGAGAAGAAGUUGAGAAACCCAAAAAGAAAUAGAGAGUGGAGAGUACAGUGUAGGUGGGGUUAGAGACAGAGCAGGGAAGGAGCUGGCAAUGAUGGGACCUUGUAGAAAUGGAGGAAUCCCCAAAUGUUUCUGUUAGUGAUUGCAAUUUAAGGCUAAAUUAUGAAGGACGCCAUUAAAAUAGUGGAAUGGGAAGGGAAGUGUCUACCAUCUACAGAGACUAGAGUCUGAUUGCAUUUAAUUUUAUUGGAUUUUGUUUUUGGCGUUGGUGGGAUUUUGGAUGCUUCCUAACCAUGAGCAGAUAGUAAUAUUUUAUUUAUUCCGGUCUAUAUAUUUAUAAUUAUUUUAUAUAAAUUAAAAAAUUUUAAUUAGUUAAUAUGAAUAACUACGUAUUUAGAAAGAUAAAAUAAAAUAUAUUUUAUUUAACAUUUCGUUUAUUUAUAAAAAAUAAUUUAUAGAAAAGAAAUUUUUUCAAAUAAUUUAAUUUUCAUUGUUUAAAUUUAAUUUAAAAAAUAAAAUAUAUUUAAUACUUUUAUAUAGUAUGUGGGGAAGUUAGCUUUUGACUUUGCUUAACACUUUGUGCUCUCUUAUUUAGGGCAAAUACUAUUUGGAUCAAAUCGAAAAAUUGAUCAAACUAAAUUAAUUUAAAAAUUUAAUUUGAUUUUCAUUUAAUUCGGUUCAGUUCAGUUUUAAAUUUUAGAAAUUUUAGUUAUUUUGGUUCGACUUGAUUUUAAUCAGAAAAACAUUAAAAAAAUUAAAUCGAACUAAUUAGUGAUAAUAAUAUGUUAUUUUUAAUAAUAUAGAAAAAUUAAAUUAUAUUAAAAUUAAAAUAUUUUAAUUAAAUUUUAAAAAACUAAAAAUAAGGUAAAAAAAUAAAAAAUUUAUUAAAAAUCGAAAUCGAUUAAACCAAAUCGAAUCGAACUGAAUCAGAUCGAUUUAAUUCGAUUCAAUUUUCGACCAAAAUCAAUUUGAUUCGAUUUUAUUAAAUACUAAAAUUUUAAUUUUUAAUUUAUUUGAUUCGGUUCGACGACCAAAUGUUCAGCCCUACUCUUAUUAAUGCAAUCUUGACCCAUACAUUAAAUUAUGAUUUUCACUUGACGGAGUAUAUUUUUAAAAAACUAUUUUUUAUAAAAAAUAAAAAGAAAAUUACAUGUGGUUGCGUUGUGUUUUUCUCUAUUUUUUAGCUAAAAUGAUUUCUGAAAUUGCCUUGUGUUGGUCCUCAUCUGAUUUUAACCAAUAAAAAUAAUAAUAAAAAAUAAAUAACAGCAUAAUAUUAAAAAUUCUAUAAUUUAAUAUAAAAGCAUAUGAUAAAUAAGAGAAAAUUAACAAAAUUACAUUAAUAUAGUUAAAGAAAUCAAAGCAAAAUAUUACCAUAUCAAAACAUUAAGUGAAAAAUAUAUGGCGCAAUUAAUAAAUUUAAUGAAGUAUGAAAGUAAACAUUAAACAUU
rnacentral:lncRNA from 1 species